AAGCAGCAUCAGUACAGCGGUGAUACCGUGACAUUAAUUGUGGUGUUAUUCGCUGGCGAUGUGGCAAGA
rnacentral:snoRNA from 1 species